AAGCGAAGCCGCGAGGCGGAGCGAACCCCAAAAAUAAACGUCCCAGUUCGGACUGUAGUCUGCAACCCGACUACACGAAGCUGGAAUCGCUAGUAAUCGCGGAUCAGCAUGCCGCGGUGAAUACGUUCCCGGGUCUUGUACACACCGCCCGUCACACCAUGGGAGUCGAUAACGCCCGAAGUCAGUGACCCAACCGAGAGGAGGGAGCUGCCGAAGGCGGGAUUGAUAACUGGGGUGAAGUCGUAACAAGGUAAC
rnacentral:rRNA from 1 species